AUUGAACGCUAGCGGGAUGCUUUACACAUGCAAGUCGAACGAGUGGCGGACGGGUGAGUAAUAUAUCGGAACGUGCCCAGUAGCGGGGGAUAACUACUCGAAAGAGUGGCUAAUACCGCAUACUAUUGUACGGGCCGGUAACGGAUUAGCUAGUUGGUGGGGUAAAGGCUAACUAAGGCCACGAUCCGUAGCGGGUUUGAGAGGACGACCAGCCACACUGGGACUGAGACACGGCCCCGACUCCUACGUGAGGCAGCAGUGGGGAAUUUUGGACAAUGGGGGAAACCCUGAUCCAGCCAUCCCGCGUGUAUGAGAAGGCCCUAGGGUUGUAAAGUACUUUCAGUCGGGAGGCGUUACCGACAGAAGAAGCACCGGCUAACUCCGUGCCAGCAGCCGCGGUAAUUC
rnacentral:rRNA from 1 species